AUGUGCACGCCAAUGAAGAUGAUCAAGAAGAUGACGGUAACUCUGACAUUGAAGAAGUU
rnacentral:sRNA from 1 species